rnacentral:tRNA from 2 species
CCUGUGAUGGUCGAGUGGUUAAGGCAUUGGACUCGAAAUCCAAUGGGGUUUGCCCGGGCAGGUUCAAAUCCUACUCACAGUA